GAACAAAAAACAAACUUGACAAUUUAGUCUAAUGUAUUUUUAUGUAUAGACCAUUAUUUGUUUAUCUAUGUACAACAUUUGAUUAUUCAUUUAUUUAUUUGUUUAAAAAAUGUAUUCGGUGAAUGUGUAAAUAGUAUAAAUAUGAAGGCGAUGUCCAACUGUAGGCUCUUUAAAGGUCUUCCGAUGAAAAAGUAUUAUACUCCAUAAACAGCUUUGUUGAUCGCAAGUUAUAAAUUACUUCGAUGUCAAAUGUAUUGAGUUUAAUGACUAUAAGGGAAUACAUCUUUUUUUAAUGUAUAAACUGAACUGUCUCAACCUCUUUAGAAGGUAUGUAAUACACACAACUGAAAUAUUUGUAUCUAUUAAGUAUAUUUUAAAAUGGUCUCUUAAGUGGAACUGUAUUCUCGUUCUUGUUGCUAGAGACUCACAUCUGUCAUCACUAAGAAACAAAUGCAUCAACAUUUGCUUUGCAGUCUAAAGGGAAAUAAAACUUCUGUGGUAAAUACAACAAAUGGCAUUUUUUCCCUGACUAGAUCUUAUGGAUUUUAUUCACUUUUUAUGUGACCAUAUCCUAUUAUUAUUAUUGAUUUAGACAAAUGUCUCCGAGGGUAUCUGAGAUAUUGUCCAACCCUCACAUUCCAUUUUGAAAUACAAUUAUGGGAGAAUUUUAAAUGUUUUAGGCGAGUACUUUGUAAUUGUCUACAAAUUGAACAAUUUAAUAUUUAAAAACAGAUAAUCCUAA